rnacentral:rRNA from 1 species
UCAAUAAGCGGAGGAAAAGAAACCAACAGGGAUUGCCUCAGUAACUGCGAGUGAAGCGGCAAAAGCUCAAAUUUGAAAUCUGGUACCUUUGGGUGCUCGAGUUGUAAUUUGGAGAGGCAACUUCGGAGGAGGCGCUGGCNUAAGUUCCUUGGAACAGGACGUCACAGAGGGUGAGAAUCCCGUGCUUGGCUGGCUGUCCUCCUUCAUGUGAAGUGUCUUCGACGAGUCGAGUUGUUUGGGAAUGCAGCUCAAAAUGGGUGGUAAACUCCAUCUAAGGCUAAAUAUUGGCGAGAGACCGAUAGCGCACAAGUAGAGUGAUCGAAAGAUGAAAAGCACUUUGAAAAGAGAGUUAAACAGUACGUGAAAUUGUUGAAAGGGAAGCGCUUGAGACCAGACUCGGUGAUAGGUGAUCAGCGGUUGCUUUUGCUCCGUGCACUUGCCUUUUACCGGGCCAGCAUCAGUUGUGACGGUGGGAUAAAGACUCAGGGAAUGUGGCUCUCUUCGGGGAGUGUUAUAGCCCUGGGUGUAAUGCCACCUGUUGCGACUGAGGACCGCGCUUCGGCUAGGAUGCUGGCAUAAUGGUCUUCAGCGACCCGUCUUGAAACACGGACCAAGGAGUCUAACAUCUAUGCGAGUGUUCGGGUGUAAAACCCCUACGCGUAAUGAAAGUGAACGGAGGUGGGAACUCUUCGGAGUGCACCAUCGACCGAUCCUGAUGUCUUCGGAUGGAUUUGAGUAGGAGCAUAGCUGUUGGGACCCGAAAGAUGGUGAACUAUGCCUGAAUAGGGUGAAGCCAGAGGAAACUCUGGUGGAGGCUCGCAGCGGUUCUGACGUGCAAAUCGAUCGUCAAAUUUGGGUAUAGGG